AUUGAACGCUGGCGGCAUGCUUUACACAUGCAAGUCGAACGGCAGCACGGGAGCAAUCCUGGUGGCGAGUGGCGAACGGGUGAGUAAUAUAUCGGAACGUGCCUUAUAGUGGGGGAUAACGCAGCGAAAGUUGCGGUAAUACCGCAUACGCCCUGAGGGGGAAAGCGGGGGAUCGAAAGACCUCGCGCUACUAGAGCGGCCGAUAUCUGAUUAGCUAGUUGGUGAGGUAAAGGCUCACCAAGGCUUCGAUCAGUAGCUGGUCUGAGAGGACGAUCAGCCACACUGGGGCUGAGACACGGCCCAGACUCCUACGGGAGGCAGCAGUGGGGAAUUUUGGACAAUGGGGGCAACCCUGAUCCAGCAAUGCCGCGUGAGUGAAGAAGGCCUUCGGGUUGUAAAGCUCUUUUGUCAGGGAAGAAACAGCAGCUCUAACACAGCUGUGAAUGACGGUACCUGAAGAAUAAGCACCGGCUAACUACGUGCCAGCAGCCGCGGUAAUACGUAGGGUGCAAGCGUUAAUCGGAAUUACUGGGCGUAAAGCGUGCGCAGGCGGUUAUACAAGACAGGCGUGAAAUCCCCGGGCUUAACCUGGGAAUUGCGUCUGUGACUGUAUGGCUAGAGUGUGUCAGAGGGGGGUAGAAUUCCACGUGUAGCAGUGAAAUGCGUAGAUAUGUGGAGGAAUACCAAUGGCGAAGGCAGCCCCCUGGGAUAACACUGACGCUCAUGCACGAAAGCGUGGGGAGCAAACAGGAUUAGAUACCCUGGUAGUCCACGCCCUAAACGAUGCUGACUAGUUGUUCGGGAUUUUAUCCUGAGUAACGUAGCUAACGCGUGAAGUCAGCCGCCUGGGGAGUACGGUCGCAAGAUUA
rnacentral:rRNA from 1 species